UACGUAGGGGGCGAGCGUUGUCCGGAAUUAUUGGGCGUAAAGAGCUCGUAGGCGGUUUGUCACGUCUGCUGUGAAAUCCCGAGGCUCAACCUCGGGCCUGCAGUGGGUACGGGCAGACUGGAGUGCGGUAGGGGAGAAUGGAAUUCCUGGUGUAGCGGUGGAAUGCGCAGAUAUCAGGAGGAACACCGAUGGCGAAGGCAGUUCUCUGGGCCGUAACUGACGCUGAGGAGCGAAAGCGUGGGGAGCGAACAGG
rnacentral:rRNA from 1 species